UGCCACAACGACUCCUUGUUGUUUUUUCUAGGUAACUUAGCAUUACCAAGUACACCAGGACAAAAACGUCUCAUUGUUAUUCUGGUGUACAGCUUUGGUCUUGGAAGUUCCUUCUUCGGAAGUGUUGAUUCCCACUGCGUAAUUUCAGAUGGACUGAGGCAAGAGCUAGGGAGUCUGUAAGACCGGAGAGAAGGAAGUUUUAGUCAUCUAUACAGGAGGUGAGCAGGGGUUGGAUGACUACAGUCUUAGUCUCUAAUGGCAGUCACACAGGUCAGUGAUUGCCUGUCAGAAUAGCUGGAACUAAAGCCUAUUGCACUAUUUGUGGUGCACACCUGACAACAUUUUCUGGUUUCCCCCAGAGUUAAUCUCGAAGAGUGUAUAAAAUGCACCAGUUCCAAGUGUUCCUUUUUAUAGUUAAAGAUCUUCUCCAAGUUCUCCACCAGGACUUGUCAGCUCUUCCAGCACUAGUCAUCUUGCUCUGAGGGUGGCUAUUGGUCUUUUGGAGUCUUGCUGCAAUUAACUAGCUGAGUACAAAUGCUUGCCACAAAAGUCUGAAGGUGAAAUCACUUGAGGCCCUAAGUACCACUUAAAUCCCAUAUUGGGGCUAGAGGGAGAGGCUCCAGUAGAAUGAAUUCAUAGAGGAUGCCUUCUGUGUGUUGUAGGAGUUAUUGCAUAGCUUUCUAGUGUGUAUGGGGGGAACACAGCAAGAAGAAUAUGUUGGCAGACCAUCACUCCUAUCACAUGGAUCCAGUUGUCCUAAUAUCCUGCACACAUGACCGAUGAAUCCUGCUAAUCUGUGCACUGAGCUGAGUUGAGAGUUUUCUUGGAGCACCACAGUGUCAAGUAAUCUACUGUAAUGACAAGAAUGGUCACCUAAAAGUAGACCCUAUGCAGUGGCAAGGAUCUACAGGAUAGGGCACAUAAGCUGAGAAAGUUGAAACAGACCAAUUAUCCCCAUCCUUGCAUGAAUCCUUAAGCAUAGCCGCU